CUGGCGGCGUGCCUAAUACAUGCAAGUCGAACGAACUCUGGUAUUGAUUGGUGCUUGCAUCAUGAUUUACAUUUGAGUGAGUGGCGAACUGGUGAGUAACACGUGGGAAACCUGCCCAGAAGCGGGGGAUAACACCUGGAAACAGAUGCUAAUACCGCAUAACAACUUGGACCGCAUGGUCCGAGCUUGAAAGAUGGCUUCGGCUAUCACUUUUGGAUGGUCCCGCGGCGUAUUAGCUAGAUGGUGGGGUAACGGCUCACCAUGGCAAUGAUACGUAGCCGACCUGAGAGGGUAAUCGGCCACAUUGGGACUGAGACACGGCCCAAACUCCUACGGGAGGCAGCAGUAGGGAAUCUUCCACAAUGGACGAAAGUCUGAUGGAGCAACGCCGCGUGAGUGAAGAAGGGUUUCGGCUCGUAAAACUCUGUUGUUAAAGAAGAACAUAUCUGAGAGUAACUGUUCAGGUAUUGACGGUAUUUAACCAGAAAGCCACGGCUAACUACGUGCCAGCAGCCGCGGUAAUACGUAGGUGGCAAGCGUUGUCCGGAUUUAUUGGGCGUAAAGCGAGCGCAGGCGGUUUUUUAAGUCUGAUGUGAAAGCCUUCGGCUCAACCGAAGAAGUGCAUCGGAAACUGGGAAACUUGAGUGCAGAAGAGGACAGUGGAACUCCAUGUGUAGCGGUGAAAUGCGUAGAUAUAUGGAAGAACACCAGUGGCGAAGGCGGCUGUCUGGUCUGUAACUGACGCUGAGGCUCGAAAGUAUGGGUAGCAAACAGGAUUAGAUACCCUGGUAGUCCAUACCGUAAACGAUGAAUGCUAAGUGUUGGAGGGUUUCCGCCCUUCAGUGCUGCAGCUAACGCAUUAAGCAUUCCGCCUGGGGAGUACGGCCGCAAGGCUGAAACUCAAAGGAAUUGACGGGGGCCCGCACAAGCGGUGGAGCAUGUGGUUUAAUUCGAAGCUACGCGAAGAACCUUACCAGGUCUUGACAUACUAUGCAAAUCUAAGAGAUUAGACGUUCCCUUCGGGGACAUGGAUACAGGUGGUGCAUGGUUGUCGUCAGCUCGUGUCGUGAGAUGUUGGGUUAAGUCCCGCAACGAGCGCAACCCUUAUUAUCAGUUGCCAGCAUUAAGUUGGGCACUCUGGUGAGACUGCCGGUGACAAACCGGAGGAAGGUGGGGAUGACGUCAAAUCAUCAUGCCCCUUAUGACCUGGGCUACACACGUGCUACAAUGGAUGGUACAACGAGUUGCGAACUCGCGAGAGUAAGCUAAUCUCUUAAAGCCAUUCUCAGUUCGGAUUGUAGGCUGCAACUCGCCUACAUGAAGUCGGAAUCGCUAGUAAUCGCGGAUCAGCAUGCCGCGGUGAAUACGUUCCCGGGCCUUGUACACACCGCCCGUCACACCAUGAGAGUUUGUAACACCCAAAGUCGGUGGGGUAACCUUUUAGGAACCAGCCGCCUAAGG
rnacentral:rRNA from 2 species